GGACCUAUUGCAAAGACAGCAAGGCCUGCUUUUUCCCAAGGUAAGGCUCAUCCAUUGCACUUCAGCUGUGUUGAUCCCUGUGAUUUCCCCAAAUGUGGGGAACUCAACUGCAUAAUUUGCGGUAACGGGGGAUUGCAUUGGUGCUCUC
rnacentral:snRNA from 1 species